rnacentral:misc_RNA from 1 species
UCGAGCGGGUCGAGUCAAGUCGUGUCACUCGUGUUGUGGCGCUGGCAGAGUGAAGACGGUCGUUCCUGUUGUCCAUUAGUCAGUGCCGGCAAGUAGUGGGUGUGUACAUACGGAUCUCGUUGGACCUCCCGACGCGCAAAUAGACGCACGAGCUCUCUAAUUAAGUAAACACCAGUCAUGGGAGGGUAUGCAUGGGUUACACUGGCUACAAACGAUGCCUAUUCUUUGGGAGCAUUGGUCUUGGCGCACUCCCUACGUCGAGUUGGCACCAAAUAUGAGCUGGCUUGUCUCGUCACUCCUGGAGUUACAGCAGCGAUGAGAGAAAAAUUGGCGGCUGUAUUCUCCUUGGUGCAGGAAGUUAAUGUCCUCGAUUCGAAGGACGAGGCAAAUUUGGCUUUACUGGCUAGACCAGAAUUGGGCAUCACUUUUACUAAAUUACAUUGUUGGAGACUAACUCAAUACGAGAAAUGUGUAUUCGUCGAUGCAGAUGCGCUUGUGGUACGAAAUUGCGAUGAGCUAUUCGAGCGCGAGGAAUUAUCAGCUGCGCCCGAUGUUGGUUGGCCCGAUUGCUUCAAUUCCGGAGUAUUUGUGUUCAGACCAUCUCAACAAACAUUUGCGUCAAUCACCGCAUUUGCUGCAGCCAAAGGAUCGUUCGACGGCGGCGAUCAAGGCUUAUUAAACAUGUACUUCAGUGAUUGGGCUUCUAAGGAUAUCUCCAAACAUCUACCAUUUAUUUACAACAUGUGUUCCACGGCGACGUACUCGUAUCUGCCCGCAUUUAAGCAAUUCGGCGACGAUGUGCGAAUAAUACACUUUAUUGGCAUAACGAAACCCUGGCUACAGUAUUUCGAUACCUUAACCGGUGUCGUUCAACCACCGUCAGGAUCUAUGCAUUUGCAACCGCUGUUGCAAUUGUGGUGGAACAUAUUUUGCGAGCAAGUGCAUCCACAGUUAUCGCCCUCUAUGGCCACCAGCACAUUGGCUCCAAUUUGGCACGUAUUUGCUCCCUCGUUUUACGUACCUUCCGUUUCCAAUAUUUCCACUUACUCCGAUGCAAUAGACGAUGGUAACGUUUAUUCUCGAGCACCAGAUUUCUCGGAAUUUAAAGAUCCUUGGGAAGAAUAUUCUCCGCAGAACGAUUCGUUUCCAACCGAUAACAGUAGUGCACUGAAUGACAAGAAUGAUAAUUAUUAUGGUGGAGCAGGAUAUGAGAAAGAGGCUGCGGAUGUUGGUCAAAAUGAUCACAAUACAUCUCAAUUUGAACGCAAUCAACAAUUUCAUUGCGAGCAAUAUUUUUGUGUGCCUAUACAAACACAACAUAAUUCUUCUACAAAUAAUGAACAUAAUCAACAAUUUCAUUGCGAGCAAUAUUCUUGUGUGCCUAUACAAACACAACAUAAUCUUUCUACAAAUAAUGAACAUAAUCAACACCGAGAACAUGCAACUUUUCAUUCUGAAGAAAAUCAUAGUCAAAGACAACCCGUACAACACACUGAGUAUCAUUGGCAACAAUAUAGUGAUCAAAGACAUCAAUUUCAGCCGAGUGAACAGAGACACUAUCCUGAGCAUUGGCACGAAGAGCAAAAACAGCAUAAUGAACAAUAUCAGCAACAUCAUUAUGAAGAAAGACAUCAUGUGCCACGCCAUUAUAACGAACAGAAACAACAUAGCGAGCAUCAUCAGCAUUCUGAACAAUCUCAACAACAUGAUUAUUAUAAAAUGGAUCCUCAUCAUGUCCACCAUCAAUCGGUUCACGAACAACAUUCUACCGAAACGUGGCACGAAAAUCAUACGCAACAUACUAGUGAUCAAACUAGCCAUCGAGAUUAUCGAGAUCAUACUGUUUCUCAUAAUGAUUCUCAUCCGCAGCAUCAUAUCCAAAAUAAUGCUCAAGAUAAUUUUACAUCUCAUUAUCGUCAAAGUAACGAGAAAAAUAGCGAACAAUUCUCGGAAACUGCGAAUAAGCAGAUAGAAACGCGGAGAAUCGAUUUCCAUCCUUCCUCUCCUGCACCUUAUACAGAUCUCCGCAAUGUAGCCAUGCGAUCUGACCCGAAUAUAACGGAACAUCUAGACAAUGCAAAUACGGGCAUCGCUGGUGCCUUGGCUCAGUUGACAUUGGGCGAAGCGAGAAGCGUCGAGCAAAUAGCCUUUGAGGAGCAUAUGAGGAAGCAGAGCUGGGAACAAGGCCAGAUCGACUAUAUGGGUCGCGAUAGCUUUGACAAUAUAUGGAAGAAGAUCUGUGAGACACUUUCUCUUGCGCCGCAACGUCAGUCAUCUCCACCUAAAGAGGAUGCUGCUGAGCCAAAGGAAAGCGCUGCUACUGUUGAAUCCGUUGAGCUAAAGACUGUUACACCUAUAGAUGUCGAAGUGAAAGAACCAGUUGGAACAGAGGACAGCAACUAACAGAUCCUGGCGCCAUAGCAUUGCUGCGUCUUGUAUUGUCGUUUUGCUUUAAUGGGUUGAGGCGGACAAAGAUUUAACGCAAUCUCUAGUAUGCGAAGCUUCUGAGGAGAAGCUUUCGGCGGC